GAUGAACGCUGGCGGCGUGCCUAAUACAUGCAAGUCGAGCGAACAGACGAGGAGCUUGCUCCUCUGACGUUAGCGGCGGACGGGUGAGUAACACGUGGAUAACCUACCUAUAAGACUGGGAUAACUUCGGGAAACCGGAGCUAAUACCGGAUAAUAUAUUGAACCGCAUGGUUCAAUAGUGAAAGACGGUUUUGCUGUCACUUAUAGAUGGAUCCGCGCCGCAUUAGCUAGUUGGUAAGGUAACGGCUUACCAAGGCUACGAUGCGUAGCCGACCUGAGAGAGUGAUCGGCCACACUGGAACUGAGACACGGUCCAGACUCCUAAGGGAGGCAGCAGUAGGGAAUCUGCCGCAGUGGGCGAGAGCCUGACGGAGCAACGCCGCGUGAGUGAUGAAGGUCUUCGGAUCGUAAAACUCUGUUAUUAGGGAAGAACAAAUGUGUAAGUAACUAUGCACGUCUUGACGGUACCUAAUCAGAAAGCCACGGCUAACUACGUG
rnacentral:rRNA from 1 species